rnacentral:rRNA from 1 species
UGCAUAUCAAUAAGCGGAGGAAAAGAAACUAACAAGGAUUCCCCUAGUAACGGCGAGUGAAGCGGGAAAAGCUCAAAUUUGUAAUCUGGCGCCUUUGGCGUCCGAGUUGUAAUCUCGAGAAGUAUUUUCCGCGCUGGACCGCACAUAAGUCUGUUGGAAUACAGCGUCAUAGUGGUGAGAACCCCGUAUAGGGUGCGGAUGCCCAGUGCUUUGUGAUAUACUUUCGAAGAGUCGAGUUGUUUGGGAAUGCAGCUCAAAUGGGGUGGUAAAUUCCAUCUAAAGCUAAAUAUUGGCGAGAGACCGAUAGCGAACAAGUACCGUGAGGGAAAGAUGAAAAGCACUUUGGAAAGAGAGUUAACAGUACGUGAAAUUGUUGGAAGGGAAACGCUUGAAGUCAGACUUGCAUUUUGGAGUUCAGCCGCAAGGUGUAUUCUUCAAUUCGCAGGCCAGCAUCAGUUUUUGGGGGUGGAAAAGCGCGGUUGGAAGGUAGCAGUCUCGGCUGUGUUAUAGCUGGCCGCUGGAUUCACUUUUGGGGACUGAGGAACGCAGUACGCUUUUUGCAAGACCCUCGGGUCUUUCGUACUUAGGAUGCUGGUGGAAUGGCUUUAAACGACCCGUCUUGAAACACGGACCA